AACGAACGCUGGCGGCAUGGCUAAGACAUGCAAGUCGAGCGCGAAAGUUUCCUUCGGGAAGCGAGUAGAGCGGCGAAAGGGCGAGUAAUGCAUGGGUAACGUACCUCCUGCACAGGGAUAGCUCACCGAAAGGUGUGGUAAUACCUGAUGAUACCGCGACCACAUAAGUGGAUGCGGUCAAAUGGCGGGGACCCUUCGGGGCCUGUCGGCGGGAGAGCGGCCCAUGUCCUAUCAGCUUGUUGGUGAGGUAAAGGCUCACCAAGGCUGCGACGGGUACCGGGGCUGAGAGGUCGGCCCGGCGCAUUGGGACUGAGACACUGCCCAGACUCCUACGGGAGGCUGCAGUAACGAAUAUUCCGCAAUGGGCGAAAGCCUGACGGAGCAAUGCCGCGUGUGGGAUGAAGCUUUUCGGAGUGUAAACCACUGUCAGGGACCACCAAGCGACGGGGGCUAAUAUCCCCCUGAGUUGAGGAAUCCCAGAGAAGCCACGCUAACUU
rnacentral:rRNA from 1 species